GCCCAUGCCGACGGGAGCUUAAGAGCGCCCUCGGACCACGACCCCAG
rnacentral:rRNA from 1 species